ensembl:lncRNA
AUCAGGGACAAUAUUCUGUGAAUAAUAGGUGAGGAGAUGGAAUCAGGGACAAUAUUCUGUGAAAGAAAGGUGAGGAGAUGGAAUCAGGAAUAAUAUUCUGCGAACACUAGGUGAGGAGAUGGAAUCAGGGACAAUGUUCUGUGAAUAAUAGGUGGAAAUGGAAUCAGGGACAAUGUUCUGUGAAAAAUAGGUGAGGAGAUGGAAUCAGGGACAAUAUUCUGUGAAUAAUAGGUGAGGAGAUGGAAUCAGGGACAAUAUUCUGUGAAAGAAAGGUAAGGAGAUGGAAUCAGGAAGAAUAUUCUGCGAACACUAGGUGAGGAGAUGGAAUCAGGGAGAAUUUGCCAUGAAUAAUCAGACUUCUAUCAUUAGCAUUCCCAGUUACAGGGAGGCUUUGCAACUGACCAAGACAUAGUAACUAACACACCAAGACAUAGUAACCAAGACAUAGUAACUAACACACCCAGACAUAGUAACUAACACACCAAGACAUAGCAACCAAGACGUAGUAACUAACACACCAAGACGUAGUAACCAAGACAUAGCAACCAAGACGUAGUAACCAACACACAAAGGCAUAGUAACCAACACACCAAGACAUGGUAACCAACACACCAAGACAUAAUAAUCAACACACCAAGACAUAGCAACCAAGACGUAGUAACCAACACACCAAGACGUAGUAACCAAGACAUGGUAACCAACACACCAAGACAUGGUAAACAACACACCAAGUCAUAGUAACCAACACACCAAGACGUAGUAACCAACACACCAAGACGUAGUCACCAACACACCAAGACAUAGUAACCAACACACCAAGACGUAGUCACCAACACACCAAGACGUAGUCACCAACACACCAAGACGUAGUCACCAACACACCAAGACACAGUAACCAACACACCAAGACGUAGUAACCAACACACCAAGACGUAGUAACCAAGACAUAGUAACCAACACACCAAGACAUGGUAACCAACACACCAAGAUGUAGUAACCAACACACCAAGACGUAGUAACCAACACACCAAGACGCAGUAACCAACACACCAAGACGUAGUAACCAACACACCAAGACGUAGUAACGAAGACACCAAGACAUAGUAACCAACACACCAAGACGUAGUCACCAACACACCAAGACGUAGUCACCAACACACCAAGACGUAGUCACCAACACACCAAGACGUAGUCACCAACACACCAAGAUGUAGUCACCAACACACCAAGACGUAGUCACCAACACACCAAGACGUAGUCACCAACACACCAAGACGUAGUCACCAACACACCAAGACGUAGUCACCAACACACCAAGACGUAGUAACCAACACACCAGGACGCAGUAACCAACACACCAGGACGCAGUAACCAACACACCAAGACGCAGUAACCAACACACCAAGACGCAGUAACCAACACACCAAGACGCAGUAACCAACACACCAAGACGUAGUAACCAACACACCAAGACGUAGUAACCAACACACCAAGACGUAGUAACUAACACACCAAGACGUAGUAACUAACACACCAAGACGUAGUAACUAACACACCAAGACGUAGUAACUAACAAACCAAGACGUAGUAACCAGCACACCAAGACGUAGUAACCAACACACCAAGACGUAGUAACCAACACACCAAGACGUAGUAACCAAGACAUAGUAACCAACACACCAAGACAUGGUAACCAACACACCAAGACGUAGUAACCAACACACCAAGACGUAGUAACCAACACACCAAGACGCAGUAACCAACACACCAAGACGUAGUAACCAACACACCAAGACGUAGUAACCAACACACCAAGACGUAGUAACCAACACACCAAGACGCAUUAACAAACACACCAGACGUAGUAACCAACACACCAAGACGUAGUAACCAACACACCAAGACGUAGUAACCAAGACAUAGUAACCAACACACCAAGACAUGGUAACCAACACACCAAGACGUAGUAACCAACACACCAAGACGUAGUAACCAACACACCAAGACGCAGUAACCAAGACAUAGUAACCAACACACCAAGACGUAGUAACCAACACACCAAGACGCAUUAACAAACACACCAAGACGUAGUAACCAGCACACCAAGACGCAGUAACCAACACACCAAGACGUAGUAACCAACACACCAAGACGCAUUAACAAACACACCAAGACGUAGUAACCAACACACCAAGACGUAGUAACCAACACACCAAGACGUAGUAACUAACACACCAAGACGUAGUAACCAACACACCAAGACAUAGUAACCAACACACCAAGACGUAGUAACCAGCACACCAAGACGCAGUAACCAACACACCAAGACGUAGUAACCAACACACCAAGACGCAUUAACAAACACACCAAGACGUAGUAACCAACACACCAAGACGUAGUAACUAACACACCAAGACAUAGUAACCAACACACCAAGACGCAUUAACAAACACACCAAGACAUAGUAACCAACACACCAAGACGCAUUAACAAACACACCAAGACAUAGUAACCAACACACCAAGACGUAGUAACCAACACACCAAGACGUAGUAACCAACACACCAAGACGUAGUAACCAACACACCAAGACGUAGUAACCAACACACCAACACGUAGUAACCAACACACCAAGACGUAGUAACCAACACACCAGACGUAGUAACCAACACACCAGACGUAGUAACCAACACACCAAGACGCAUUAACAAACACACCAGACGUAGUAACCAACACACCAAGACGUAGUAACCAACACACCAAGACGUAGUAACAAACACACCAGACGUAGUAACCAACACACCAAGACGUAGUAACCAACACACCAAGACGUAGUAACAAACACACCAGACGUAGUAACCAACACACCAAGACAUAGUAACCAACACACCAGACGUAGUAACCAACACACCAAGACGCAUUAACAAACACACCAGACGUAGUAACCAACACACCAGACGUAGUAACCAACACACCAAGACGCAUUAACAAACACACCAGACGUAGUAACCAACACACCAAGACGUAGUAACAAACACACCAGACGUAGUAACCAACACACCAAGACGCAUUAACAAACACACCAGACGUAGUAACCAACACACCAAGACGUAGUAACCAACACACCAAGACGUAGUAACAAACACACCAAGACGUAGUAACCAACACACCAAGACGUAGUAACCAACACACCAAGACGUAGUAACCAACACACCAAGACGUAGUAACCAAGACAUAGUAACCAACACACCAAGACAUGGUAACCAACACACCAAGACGUAGUAACCAACACACCAAGACGUAGUAACCAACACACCAAGACGUAGUAACCAACACACCAAGACGUAGUAACCAAC